rnacentral:ncRNA from 1 species
GGUAACCCGUUGAAAGGGAACAUAGGCAGGAAACAGGCAAGAGAGCCGGUGGUUGGUGCGAACCGGUCCUGGGAACUGCUGAAUCCGCCCUGGAGGGGAUCCACCGAAGGGCCGUGGCCUGGUAAGUGGAUACGGUGGCGCCGUUAUCGCAUCGAGAGGGUCAAGGGGAUAUUAUUGCCUUUUGGCCAAUUAGGGUGGCAACGCGGGAACAAGCUCUCGUCCCUAAA